CAAUAGCGUGUAUUAAAGUUGUUGCAGUUAAAAAGCUCGUAGUUGAAUUUUUGCUUGCCGCCGAUGUCGGAACUUCCGUACGUUCGGCGGCGUGCAUCCUUGGGUGGAACCUGUGUGGCAUUAGGUUGUCGUGCAGGGGAUGCUCAUCGUUUACUGUGAAAAAAUUAGAGUGUUCAAAGCAGGCUUACGCCGUUGAAUAUAUUAGCAUGGAAUAAUAAGAUAGGACCUUGGUACUAUUUUGUUGGUUUGCGCACCGAGGUAAUGAUUAACAGGGACAGUUGGGGGUAUUCGUAUUCCAUUGUCAGAGGUGAAAUUCUUGGAUUUCUGGAAGACGAACUACUGCGAAAGCAUUUACCAAGGAUGUUUUCAUUAA
rnacentral:rRNA from 1 species